AGUCAAGAAAGUUCGGAUACGGAGACGCCUGGAAAUAUGCUUAUUCGUUAUUUCCUAGGAGUGCUUUGACUCAAGCCGAGGACCAUAAGUUGCUACUCUGUACUUCAUCGACAGCCAAGAGCUCUACGCCCAGCCCAAUGAAGACGUUUCUUCUUCCAAGAAAUGUUGUGACCAGAUGAGAAGGCAGGUCAUAAAUUUUUGACAUGAACACAAGAAAAGUUCAGCAACUUUUCGGCCUUCCUUCUAAUGCCAUGGUGUACGUGAUAUUGUUGAUGCUAAUGACGAACAGGAUAUGGGCCGAGAUGCCCAUGCUUCCAUGCCUCCUACGACAGGAAAAGACUUUGUUUGAUAGACAAAUAACAGACAUCUUUUCUCAAUGACCAAACUCAAAUGGAGAAAUAAUAAGGAGAACCAAAGAAGAA